rnacentral:misc_RNA from 1 species
UCCGGCUUAUCACCGGCAGUUUCCUCAGAGUGCUCAGCUUAACCUGUUAGCAACAGAGGAUGAGGGUUGCGCUCGUUGCGGGACUUAACCCAACAUCUCACGACACGAGCUGACGACAGCCAUGCAGCACCUGUGCUCCUCCCACCCGAAGUGAAAGAGAUCAUCUCUGAUCCCUAUAGAGGGCAUGUCAAGGCCUGGUAAGGUUCUUCGCGUUGCCUCGAAUUAAACCACAUGUUCCACCGCUUGUGCGGGUCCCCGUCAAUUCCUUUGAGUUUUAAUCUUGCGACCGUACUCCCCAGGCGGGAUAUUUAACGCGUUAGCUACGCCACUGAGAGGUAACCCCCCAACGGCUAAUAUCCAUCGUUUACAGCGUGGACUAC